rnacentral:rRNA from 1 species
AUUGAACGCUGGCGGCAGGCCUAACACAUGCAAGUCGAACGGCAGCGGGGGAUAGCUUGCUAUCCUGCCGGCGAGUGGCGGACGGGUGAGUAAUGCAUGGGGAGCUGCCCAAUCGAGGGGGAUAACAACUGGAAACGGUUGCUAAUACCGCAUACGCCCUGCGGGGGAAAGGUGGGGACCUUCGGGCCCACCGCGAUUGGAUGCACCCAUGUGGGAUUAGCUGGUUGGUGAGGUAACGGCGCACCAAGGCGACGAUCUCUAGCUGGUCUGAGAGGAUGACCAGCCACACUGGAACUGAGACACGGUCCAGACUCCUACGGGAGGCAGCAGUGGGGAAUAUUGCACAAUGGGGGAAACCCUGAUGCAGCCAUGCCGCGUGUGUGAAGAAGGCCUUCGGGUUGUAAAGCACUUUCAGUGGGGAGGAAGGGGAGCAAGCUAAUAACUUGCAUCAUUGACGUUACCCACAGAAGAAGCACCGGCUAACUCCGUGCCAGCAGCCGCCGUAAAAC